GCUUUUCUAAAUACUCGCCUAAGCCAUUAGCCUAGAUCUGACCCACUAAUGGAGCCCACAGCUCAAGAGGGCCUGGCGCAGCCCAUAAUGAAUAGUAACGAGCUUUGCCUGACCCAGCCCAUUCCUCCGAGCCAGGCUAGGCUUGGGGUUCGCGAGCCCAACCUGAGCCCGAUAAGGACUAGGCCCGGCCCGACCUACGACCCAUGCUUGACCCAGC
rnacentral:lncRNA from 1 species